GGCUUCGUAGCACAGCUCGCUGCGUUUGGGUAUGGUGUUUCUGUCGCUGGUUCGAAUCCAGCCGAAGCCC